AAUCAACGGAGCUCAUCAUUUUCAAAAACCAACAAAUCUCUCACAAAUCGACGGCAAGACGAUGAGCGCCACCAAUUCAGAUUCGGUAUCAACAACCGUAAUGGAGACGGUGAACGGAUCGCACCAAUUCACGAUCAAAGGCUACUCUCUCGCCAAAGGCAUGAGCCCGGGGAGGUACAUACAGAGCGACGUCUUCUCCGUGAACGGAUACGACUGGGUGAUCUACUUCUACCCCGACGGGAAGAACCCGGAGGAGAACUCAACGUACGUCUCUCUAUUCAUCGCCUUGGCGAGCGAUUCGAGCGACAUUAGGGCUUUGUUCGAGCUGACGCUGAUGGAUCAGAGCGGUAGAGGGAGGCAUAAGGUUCAUAGUCAUUUCGAUCGGGCGCUUGAAGGUGGACCUUAUACGCUUAAGUAUAAAGGGAGCAUGUGGGGUUACAAACGCUUUUUAAGAAGAACAGCUUUAGAAGCAUCUGACUACCUGAAGGAUGACUGUCUUAUCAUCAACUGCACCGUUGGCGUCGUUAGAGCUCGCCUUGAGGGUCCCAAACAGUUCUGCAUUGUGCCACCACCUUCAAACAUGGGUCAGGGAUUGAAAGACUUGUUAGACUCUGAACUUGGCUGCGACAUUAUUUUCCAAGUUGGAGAUGAGACUUACAAAGCUCACAAACUGAUCCUCGCAGCACGCUCGCCGGUUUUUCGAGCUCAGUUCUAUGGACCAGUUGGGAAUAACAGUGUGGAUAGAGUAGUCAUAGAGGACAUCGAGCCUUCAAUCUUUAAGGCUAUGCUUAGCUUCAUCUACACGGAUGUACUUCCUGAUGUGCAUGAGAUUACAGGGUCUACUUCUACCGCUUCGUUCACAAAUAUGAUACAGCAUCUAUUGGCAGCUGCUGACCUCUAUGACCUUGGAAGGUUAAAGAUACUGUGUGAAGCUUUUCUAUGUGAAGAACUAAACGUUGAUAAUGUGGCAACAACACUUGCACUAGCUGACCAACACCAGUUCUUGCAGCUCAAAGCCUUCUGCUUAAAAUUUGUUGCAUCUCCAGCAAAUUUGCGAGGAGACUCGAUGUUUGAUUAGACGGCCUGAAGUUUAUCAUCCUAAAUUAGGUGCGAUAAAUAGUGAUUUCAUCGUCUGUUCAGUUUCACAUACAUUUGCUGAACUUAAUUGAAAACGGUGAAUAUGGCCGUAAUGAAGUCAGAAGGUUUCAAGCACUUGAACCAGAGCUGUCCCUCUGUGUUGCCUGAGUUGCUAAACACAGUUGCAGCAGCGGAUAAGAGCUCGACGUCGAGUGGACAGUCAAGCAAGAAAAGAAGUGUGAGCAGUGUGUUGGGCUGUGAUACAAGCGCAACAAAUGCGAGACAGGUGAGGAGGACGUAGGAUCGACCCAAGUGCAAGUAAUGCUUUAGUCUGAUGCUACUUUGCUAGACUUUUUACUUAUUGUAAUGAAAAUAAUUGUUUGUAGUAUGUCUACAGUUAGUGUAAAGCUUUAGGCAAUGGAACAUCUGUUUGGCUUUGCGUGUUUGUAAAAGCUUUGGAUAAUACUAGGUAAAAAGCUUUGGAGUUAAUAGUCUUUUUUGUUGUAUCUCAUCGUUAAAGUCACCAUUGAGUCUUUGUUUCGUCUGAAAAACUGCCGUGAGAUGCAAGUUUGAGGGUUUUCUCUUUU